rnacentral:rRNA from 1 species
CUGCGGAGGGAUCAUUAAAGAGUUUUAUAACUCCCAAACCCAUGUGAACAUACUUUACGUUGCCUCGGCAGGUCGCGCCUACCCCGUAGCCUCCUACCCUGUAGGACCUACCCGGUAGACGCGGGUAAGCCUGCCGGCGGCCCAAGAAACUCUGCUUAGUAUUGAAUUCUGAAUCCAUAACUAAAUAAGUUAAAACUUUCAACAACGGAUCUCUUGGUUCUGGCAUCGAUGAAGAACGCAGCGAAAUGCGAUAAGUAAUGUGAAUUGCAGAAUUCAGUGAAUCAUCGAAUCUUUGAACGCACAUUGCGCCCAUUAGUAUUCUAGUGGGCAUGCCUGUUCGAGCGUCAUUUCAACCCUUAAGCCUCUGUUGCUUAGUGUUGGGAGCCUACGGCACCCGUAGCUCCUCAAAGUUAGUGGCGGAGUCGGUUCACACUCUAGACGUAGUAAUUUUUUCUCGCCUAUCAGUUGGACCGGUCCCCUGCCGUAAAACACCCCAAUUUCUAAAGGUUGACCUCGGAUCAGGUAGGAAUACCCGCUGAACUUAAGCAUAU